rnacentral:lncRNA from 10 species
UGAGGUAUGAGAAUCACUUGAACCUGGGAGGUGGAGUUUGUAGCGAGCCAAGAUCAUGCCACUGCACUCUAGCCUGGGUGACAGAAUGAUAAUCCAUGUCAAAAAAAAAAGAAGAAGAAGAAGAAGUGAGGAGAGGCUACUAUAACCACAGUGUGUGGUCAUUAUUAGAUAUUAGAUUAGAUAUGAAUUAUUAGAUGCAUCUGGCAUGCAGAAGAUAUUUAGGAAACCAUAGCUAUUGCUACUACCCUUAAUUUCUGGAUUACACAGAGAAGGGAUGCUAAUUCCCACUCCUUCCCAUGCCAAUAAUUUUGUCUCCUGUUCUGACUGAGAAGGUUGAGGUGUCUGGAAUGAGGAUUAGCAGAUGGUCCCAUAAAGAGGGAGUCCUCUGUUUAUGGGAGAGUCCCUCCAGUUCUGCAUAUGUUUGCUGAACAUGCAUUGAUUGUGUGGCACCCCACCUCGCUGCUGAUACAUUAUUUUAAAAUCAAACUCUUUGUUUUGGUAUUUAGAAGCAUAUCUUUGAUUCUCCGUAAACAGUUAUGUAACCACUUUUUUCAUAGUAAACCAUACAUAGUUAAGGGCUACAUAUUUUCAGUCUAAUUAAAUAAAUUCAAUAGAUAUUUACUAAGUGCCAACUCUGUGCCAAGGCUGGACCAGGCCCUGCAGCUGGAGAUGGAAGAUGGUGUUUCCUUGAGAAGAUUACCAUAAAGAAGAGAGACGAGAGUCAUCACUACAGCACAGGUGAACACAAUCGACCAGCCAAGGUGAUUCACACACUUCAGCUUGAAGCUGAUCUGCCACUUGUGUCUUCUUGUCUCUAUUGAAUUAAGUUCCUGAGACCUAAUCCUUCCCAUCACUAGUAUCGGUGCUUUUAUUUUUGUUUUCUACUUAGUUGGAUAACAUAGUGAAGGAAAAUGUGCUAAUAUAAUAGAAAUAAUUGCAUUAAUAAGCCUGGUAAACAGGCAGAGACAGUGGGAGCCAUGGCCAGAGGCAAGCUGCUGGCAGCCAGGCAGUACCACCAUACAAAAGCUCACAAAUUUCUUUCAAGAAAUGCCAUACGGCUGGGCAUGGUGGCUCAUGCCUGUAAUCCCAACGCUUCGGGAGGCCUAGAUGGGUAGAUCACUUGAGGUCAGGAGUUCAAGACCAGCCUGGGCAAUAUGGUGAAACCCCCCGUCUCUACUAAAAAUACAAAAAUUAGUCAGGCAUGGUGGUGCAUGCCUGUAAUCCCAGCUACUCAGGAGGCUGAGGCAGAAGAAUCGCUUGAACCUAAGAGGCAGAAGUUGCAGUGAGCCGAGAUCAUGCCACUGCACUCCAGCCUGGGUGACAGAGUGAGAGUCCAUCUCAAAAAAAAAAAAAAAAAAGAGAGAGUUCAUAAUGUCUGCGUGUGAAGGUGUAGGCUAUAUGACAGCUAAAUAUAUAACAGUGAGGACCAUCUGGCUUCAAUUUACAGAUUUAUUUAUGUAAAAACUCUCUUCUAUUUCUUCACCUUAAAGAAACAUGAAUAAAAUAUCCAACGCUCUCACUGGUGCAAUUCCUGAGAGAUUCCUUUGUCGUAUUGGGAUCUGUCAAUGGGUAGAUAAGGAGAAACAAAGGAAGGGAUAGAAGUGACACAGAGAGAGAGAGAGAAGGUAAAAAAUAAAGGGAGAAGCAGAAAAAAUCUUUUUAAAAACCUAUAAUUAAUAUACUUUGAAUGCUAAGGUAUUGCCUUAAUGAAAUGAGACCAGGAAAUUGUGAAAAAACAAUAACCAGAGAACAAAAAGGAGCUCUUGGAAAUAAAAAUAAAGCAGAAAAAAA